rnacentral:rRNA from 1 species
GCAGUCGCCGCGGGAAUACGAAGGGUGCAAGCGUUACUCGGAAUUACUGGGCGUAAAGCGUGCGUAGGUGGUGGUUUAAGUCCGUUGUGAAAGCCCUGGGCUCAACCUGGGAAUUGCAGUGGAUACUGGGUCACUAGAGUGUGGUAGAGGAUAGUGGAAUUUCCGGUGUAGCAGUGAAAUGCGUAGAGAUCGGAAGGAACAUCUGUGGCGAAGGCGACUAUCUGGGCCAACACUGACACUGAGGCACGAAAGCGUGGGGAGCAAACAGGAUUAGAUACCCGAGUAGUCCCUGUCUCUUAUAC